rnacentral:rRNA from 1 species
CGGGACACGUGGUAUCCUGUCUGAAUAUGGGGGGACCAUCCUCCAAGGCUAAAUACUCCUGACUGACCGAUAGUGAACCAGUACCGUGAGGGAAAGGCGAAAAGAACCCCGGCGAGGGGAGUGAAAAAGAACCUGAAACCGUGUACGUACAAGCAGUGGGAGCACGCUUAGGCGUGUGACUGCGUACCUUUUGUAUAAUGGGUCAGCGACUUAUAUUCUGUAGCAAGGUUAACCGAAUAGGGGAGCCGAAGGGAAACCGAGUCUUAACUGGGCGUUAAGUUGCAGGGUAUAGACCCGAAACCCGGUGAUCUAGCCAUGGGCAGGUUGAAGGUUGGGUAACACUAACUGGAGGACCGAACCGACUAAUGUUGAAAAAUUAGCGGAUGACUUGUGGCUGGGGGUGAAAGGCCAAUCAAACCGGGAGAUAGCUGGUUCUCCCCGAAAGCUAUUUAGGUAGCGCCUCGUGAAUUCAUCUCCGGGGGUAGAGCACUGUUUCGGCAAGGGGGUCAUCCCGACUUACCAACCCGAUGCAAACUGCGAAUACCGGAGAAUGUUAUCACGGGAGACACACGGCGGGUGCUAACGUCCGUCGUGAAGAGGGAAACAACCCAGACCGCCAGCUAAGGUCCCAAAGUCAUGGUUAAGUGGGAAACGAUGUGGGAAGGCCCAGACAGCCAGGAUGUUGGCUUAGAAGCAGCCAUCAUUUAAAGAAAGCGUAAUAGCUCACUGGUCGAGUCGGCCUGCGCGGAAGAUGUAACGGGGCUAAACCAUGCACCGAAGCUGCGGCAGCGACGCUGAUGCGUUGUUGGGUAGGGGAGCGUUCUGUAAGCCUGUGAAGGUGUGCUGUGAGGCAUGCUGGAGGUAUCAGAAGUGCGAAUGCUGACAUAAGUAACGAUAAAGCGGGUGAAAAGCCCGCUCGCCGGAAGACCAAGGGUUCCUGUCCAACGUUAAUCGGGGCAGGGUGAGUCGACCCCUAAGGCGAGGCCGAAAGGCGUAGUCGAUGGGAAACAGGUUAAUAUUCCUGUACUUGGUGUUACUGCGAAGGGGGGACGGAGAAGGCUAUGUUGGCCGGGCGACGGUUGUCCCGGUUUAAGCGUGUAGGCUGGUUUUCCAGGCAAAUCCGGAAAAUCAAGGCUGAGGCGUGAUGACGAGGCACUACGGUGCUGAAGCAACAAAUGCCCUGCUUCCAGGAAAAGCCUCUAAGCAUCAGGUAACAUCAAAUCGUACCCCAAACCGACACAGGUGGUCAGGUAGAGAAUACCAAGGCGCUUGAGAGAACUCGGGUGAAGGAACUAGGCAAAAUGGUGCCGUAACUUCGGGAGAAGGCACGCUGAUAUGUAGGUGAAGCGACUUGCUCGUGGAGCUGAAAUCAGUCGAAGAUACCAGCUGGCUGCAACUGUUUAUUAAAAACACAGCACUGUGCAAACACGAAAGUGGACGUAUACGGUGUGACGCCUGCCCGGUGCCGGAAGGUUAAUUGAUGGGGUCAGCGCAAGCGAAGCUCUUGAUCGAAGCCCCGGUAAACGGCGGCCGUAACUAUAACGGUCCUAAGGUAGCGAAAUUCCUUGUCGGGUAAGUUCCGACCUGCACGAAUGGCGUAAUGAUGGCCAGGCUGUCUCCACCCGAGACUCAGUGAAAUUGAACUCGCUGUGAAGAUGCAGUGUACCCGCGGCAAGACGGAAAGACCCCGUGAACCUUUACUAUAGCUUGACACUGAACAUUGAGCCUUGAUGUGUAGGAUAGGUGGGAGGCUUUGAAGUGUGGACGCCAGUCUGCAUGGAGCCGGCCUUGAAAUACCACCCUUUAAUGUUUGA